AUUGAACGCUGGCGGCAGGCCUAACACAUGCAAGUUGCACGAGUGGCGGACGGGUGAGUAAUGUCUGGGAAACUGCCUGCUGGAGGGGGAUCACUACUGGAAACGGUAGCUAAUACCGCAUACCAUCAGAUGUGCCCAGAUGGGACUAGCUUGUUGGUGGGGUAACGGCUCACCAAGGCGACGAUCCCUAGCUGGUCUGAGAGGAUGACACGCCAAACUGGAACUGAGACACGGUCCGGACUCCUACGGGAGGCAGGAGUGGGGAAUAUUGCACAAUGGGCGCAAGCCUGAUGCAGCCAUGCCGCGUGUAUGAAGAAGGCCUUCGGGUUGUAAAGAACUUUCAGCGGGGAGGCGUUACCCGCAGAAGAAGCACCGGCUAACUCCGUGCCAGCAGCCGCGGUAAUUC
rnacentral:rRNA from 1 species